UUCCUUUUUUUUUUUUUUUUUUUUUUUUUUCCUAGCACUUCAUGGAUAUUUUUGGGUUGGAGGAGGCCUCGGGAGACCAUCCAGUCUGAACCCUGUGCCAAAGCAGGGUCACCUAGAGCAGGUGACACAGGAACGUGUCCAGGUGGAUUCAGAGUCCCUCCAGAGAAGGACUCUCCUCAACCUCCACGGGCAGCCUAUUCCAGUAACAUAAAGAAGUUCUACCUCAUGUUGAGGUGGAAAUUACUGUGUUUUAGUUCACGUCCAUUGCUCUUCAUCCUGUCACUGGGCAGCACUGAAAGUAGGCUGGCACCAUCCUCUUGGCUCCUGCCUUUGAGACAGAUACGUAUGCAUUGAUGGCAUCCCCUCUCAGUCUUCUCUACUCCAAACUGAACUUUCUGAAAGGGAUCUCAGCCCAGGCCGGUACGGUGUAUUUGCCUGACUUCGUGCUCAGCCUGGCGGUGACAGUCUGAGGUGUAUUUUCACCCUCUCCUCGCCAGGCCGCUCUCCCCGCCCGCCGCCGCCCGGCCACGGAGCGCGCCCGCCAUCUUGUGGGCUGUGCCCGCCCUGCAGGCCGCCCUCAGCCCAGCCCGCGGCGCCCGGGGCUGCGGCGGGAGUGCUCCCGAGCGGAUUUGGAAUAGGGAGUUCUCCCGAGCAGCUUUGGAAUAUGGAACAGAACGGGGAAUGGGGCAGCUUGCUCAGAGAAGUUCCGUCCCUGGAAGUGUUCAAGGCCAGGUUGGAUGGGGCUCUAAACAACCCUGUCUAAUGGAAGGUGUCCCUGCCCAUGGCAGGGGCGUGGGAGCUUUAAGGUCCCUUCUAUCCCAAGCUAUUCUGCGGUUCUGAUUCUGUGAUUUUGCAAAGAAGGGUAGGAGAAAGCCGAGAGCAGUGUCCUAAGGCCGGCAUUCCCUUUUAUCACUGGGAAGUGGCUGGUUGCAGUGUGCGUGGAUGUGUUUCCAGAGCCCCAGCAGGUGCAAGUCCUGGGGGGAACCUGGGCUAGCUGGAUGACUCCUGUUAUCCUAAAAACGGGUAUACCCACAAAUCCUUGCCAGUCUAGGAUUUAAUACCCCCAGCCUGCUAAUUUUUUUACCAUCAGAGAGGUCAGCGUGUGCAGAUCCUGGGGAAGACACGCGAAGAACAGGAAAUGCAUUUUGGCUGGAGGUGCCGCUGAAUCGCAGAAGCAGUGAGCGUGGCUGAUGAGAAACUGCCUGCUUGGCACUACUACAGCAGCUGCUGAGGUGAUGCAAGUGCAUGCACUUGCACCAGGAAAAGAUGAGGAACAAAAUUUUUCCUCCCCUGAGGCAAGAGGAAAGAUCCUAACACAGAGGGGAGCCAGAUGAUGGCAUAUGAUGUGCCCAAGUACAAAAGUAUUCCUGCAGAACUAGGGGCUAGCUUUCCUCUCUCAGUCAGUCUUUCAUGAGAAUUUACUGUUUAUCCUGCCUUAGCCUGGACUCUCUGUUUUGCCUAAAUAAUGGAACAGUGGUGCCUCGAUUCACUUAAAAUACAGCAUUGAACUUGUCUGUUGUCACUGAUGGUUGAUGCACCAAAGUCAGAGGAGAGGGACCCACAAAUCCUGACAGCUUCCCUAACAUCUCCCUUCAACAGGAGCAUCUCAGCCCAAGUGGAACAGUAAAAUCUCCUCAGAACUUGUAGUGCAACAGGGUUUUGUACACACCCCCAAUGCAACAGGGGUUCUCCCCUUCCAUGGGAGAGCUGUGUGAAGUUAAUAGGAAGAUGGAAGCUUGUGUCUGCUUUAAGCCAAGAAAUGGGAAGCUCGGCUAAAACUCACUUUGCCUUGCUGUUACCCUCAGCUUACUCUGUUAAUAUGCAAAAAAUAUUCAAUCAUCUUUCUGUUUGAAAGACAGGAGGUACUAGAGUCCAGCUCCUCUUUUGUAGGGACCCAUCUUCCACCCUAGUCAAGUACCUAAAUACAUUGGUGGGUUUUGACCCAAAGGCUGAGACUUCUGAAGCUCAUUUCUUAUUUGGGACAUAGGCAGGAACUUGUGGCAUUAACAGCUCAAUGGCUUCAGCUCUAAAUGAGCUGGAAAAGGUGUUCUCAGCCAGAAAGGUUUUCUAUUUCCAGCUGUAGUAGUUGAUCAGAGAAGCAGUGUCUGCCUCUCCUCUUUCCCCUUUUCACAGCACUGCUUUCCAAUCUCUCAUUACCCAGUCUGUCCAUACAUUCAGGGUUGCCCCAUCCCAGGUGCAGAAUCCACUACUCUCCCUCACUGAACUUCAUAUGGUUGGUGAUUUCCCAGUCCUCUGAUUUGUCAAGGUCUGUCUGCUGGGCCUCCCUACCCUCAAGGGCUUCUACAGCUCCUCCCAAUUUAGUAUCAUCAGCACUUACCCAGGAUCUCUUCAGAUUCUGCAUCCAAGUCAUUUAUGAAGAAGUUGAAGAGCACAGGGCUGUGGAUGGAGCCCUGGGGAACCCCAUCAGUGACAGGUCACCAGUCCAAUGUCACCCUGUUCCCUAUAACCCUUCGUGCCUGAGUGGUGAGCCAGUUGCUCAUUCAUGGCAUGAUGUGUUUAUCCAGCUGUGUGUCUGACAUUUUGUCCAGAAGGAUACUGUGAUAGAGUAUUGAAAGUUUUACUGAAAUUCAAAAAGAUCACAUCAACUGACUUCCCUUGAUCAGCUAGGUGGGUGCCCUUGUAAAAUUAAGUUGACAAGAAGGACCUUCCCCUCAGGAAGCCAUGCUGGCUGUGACUGAUGAAUGGUGGUUUCCUGCUUGGUUGUGCUCUCCUUGCAAACCUUGUUCCUCUCCCACACCAAGUCACUUAGGACACUUUGCUUCUGGUUCAUCAUUGCUGCCUCAUUUUGGAAAACUGGAAUAAAUGCUGGACCAAACCAGGGAGAACUGCAGGGCUGCCUGGAUGCUAUGCUGUGGAGUUGGGUGGUUAAAUAGCAGGCAGCUGUCUGUCAAGAAGGAAGAGCUGAGGUGGAGGAGUGAGAUGGGGGGUGUCCAAGCAGCACCAUACAGCUCACCAGGUGCAAGCAAAGGGAUGGAAUGCAGUCUCUGCUCAGAGAGGGAACACUACUUAGUCUGAACAGGAAAAGGGAACCUGGCAAGGACAAGGGCGCAGUUUUGUAAUGGUACAGGGGACGCCUGGAAAGACCAUGAAAUGAGAACAAUCAAUUAUCAAGCUGCUGUGGCUUCAGAAAAGCCAUUAUAGACAUCCUGGUGUAAUGAGCACAUCUGAUGCACAGAAGCUAUUUAACCUUCAGCCUCUUGCCUUAUAAAGCACCUCUGGGGCAGUGGGUAAAGCUGUUAAUUAUUAAGGUCAACCCUAGCAGACAGAGGUGUCCUCAAGUACCAGUUGCUGUGGUACACUCAGAUAAUUUCUCCAUUAUGUCAAUAACUAAUUUGCUGAAUUGUUCGAGAAUUGACGGAUUAGCAUCCAUUAACCAAGGCUUAACUCAUGGCUAUGGGAGCAGUUACAGGCCACAAGGUCUGCAGAACCCAUUCGUAACUCCUUGAGCACAUGUAAUAUAUACACAUAGACAGUAGUGCAGCAGCUUGGUGUUAGUAAAACACAUAACCAAUGUAUGUAAAAAGGCUGGGCAGGCAGUGACAGGCACUGGCUUGAGCAGAUGUCUCGAUGUUUGUCCUCAGGUGCUCUGAGAGCACAGGAUGAAGUCACUCUCACUUUUAAAGAAUUAUGCAUUGAGGAAUUGUAAACAAGCAGAAUCACAAACUAAACCAAAAUACCCAUUAUGUUCACUACCAAAAGGGCUUUUUUUCUUUGUUUUUUCCUGGGGAAAAAAAAAAUCCAUACAGCAAACAUUUAAUGGAUUUGAUGGGUGUGACUUUUUACAUUGUUUGCCCUUACACUGCAAGACAAAUUGCAUUGCUUUUAUUUAUGCAGGCCAUAUAAUUUUGUGUACCAAAACUUUGUAAUUUUGUGGAGGGACAUUGGGGGGGGGGCCACAGCGCUGAAGCUGCCUAAGCCUGGCACACUGGCUGCACCCAGCUCGUGGAGGAGGAGGGAAAUGGCCGUGUGACUGCGCCACAGCGUUACCUGUGUCUGCACUUACCUGCCUGAGACUCUUCUAGCUGACUGCCUGGAGUUAAACCAAAGGAAGCUUGAGGAGAGACAGGAAAGAGAAGGAAAUGAAACUAUGGUGGUGAUAAAGCCUACCAAUACCAACAUUCCUUUAGGGGAUUGGUGGGGAGUGAGGCACUGGAAUAACUGCUGCCAGCCUGCUGCCAGAAGGGAGAUGAGCUGCUUUACUAAGGCCAGCAAUGAACACAAAAAGAUAUGAAACCCUCCCCUAGCACAGAUGAAAAGGCUGGGGACUGGGGAUAUGGAAAGGAGGUCAGAGCAGCUCCUUAAGAAGAAACAUUACUGGACUUGCAGCUGCACCUUGGUGUCCCACCAAAGCUGGGGAUGAUGGGCUGUGAAGGAGAUUUCAGGGGCUUGUCUAGGCUGCUGAAAAGGCGGAAAAGGGGAAGUUCCAAGAACCAACACUUCCCUCAGGCUUAGGCUUGCCUCGUGGUUUGUGGCAGGCUUUUGGCUGUACUGCCAGCUGUUCUGCCCCAAAGGGAGAGUUUCAGCUGUCCACUGCCAGCUGUUUGGAGGGGAAGGGAUUGGCAGGGUAUGUUCAAAGACAACAGUCCUGUUUAAAUGCCAACACAGGGAGUAGGGUGGGCAAGACAGGCAGGGGGUGCCAGCCCAGUCACGGGGUGGUGAACAUGGCAGCAGCCCUCAUCUCCUUGACUUGUGCCCUGGGAGUAACGUCAAAGUUGGACUGGGGAGGGACACUGCUCCCUUACCUGGAAUGAUGUCUGGCUUUUUUCUCCCACCCCAGACAUCCUUUAUCAUACCAGAGCAGUCACUACCACCUUUCCCCACAAACCUCAUCUCCCUUGUGUUCCUUAGGCUGCCAUGGCCACAGCAUCCUGCUGCAGCUUCACUGCAGUACCUGUGUGCAAGGGGCAGGUGGCUGUGGGAGAGGCCACAUGGGGAGAGCAAGCCCAGGUGCACCACAGGCUGGAGCUGUCUGCCCACCAAAACUGCCCAGGCGGCUGUGACUGAAACUUAAUUUGCCUGGUGCAUUCCAUGGACAUUUUAAUCAUCAUUUCCUACAAUCUACUUGGCAAAGAGGCUCGAUUGGCAGCUGCCUGACUGAAUGGGCUUUCCAACCAGUCUAACCUUCUCCUUUCGCAAUUUCCAGUGCUGGAAAACCUCUCUGUCUCACUUUCAGAAGUUUCUAUAGCAAUCACAGCCAUCCUAGUGAAGCACUGGAAAUGGCAGCCCAUUCAGAUUGUAAUUUUGCUGGACAGUAAUUGCUCCUCUCUCCACUGGCCUCUGAAAUGUUACUUUUUCGGAGAUAUCAACUGCAACUGGAGGAGACUGGUCCUCUGCCUGUGUUUCCAACCAGCUUUGUUCCCCCUGCCCCCUGAGGAACUUUGUUAGCUGUUUACAGAGUGUGAACUGGAUUAGCAGGGAAGUGUUUCUGGGCACAUCAUACUGUGGCUACAGGAAAGACCUGACAUGAGUGAUGCUCUUAACAGACCUGCAGGAACAAACCUCACCACCCAAUACAGCAUGGUGUGACCUGAUCAUUAUCCAUCACUGCAUGUAGGAAGAGUUACACAAUGUGUUUGCCUUUCCUAAUUGUAAAAGAGCAGAGCACUCAAAGCUUUUUUCUUCAUGUCGGUGAACUUACUUUUUCUAGUUCAGUUGACUUCAGCUUAAACAAUCACUUGAUCUUUUAUUCCAUACUUCAUUUUUCAGUGGCUUUGAUUGUUCUUAAUUACUCUGACACUGAAGAACCAUGUGCUGAAAAUACAUUAAGUAACUUCUUCCAAUAAGAAAAUGUGGUAGAAUUAUCCCACAGCUUGUAAAGAAAUCAGUUAAGCAUUUCUUAAGCUCUUGUAAUGAUCUUCCCCUAUACUUUUAUGACUAUUGUUGCCUGCUGGAAAAAUUAGCUUAAAGCUGAGUAAGGGGAAUUGUGGAUAAGUGUUUGCAAUUUGGCUUUGGACUGACAUAGUGUGGUUGCACUCAGAGAAUUUGAAGUCUUUGCUCUGGCAGCAGUACUCAAAUCUGGGAAUAUAGGAUUCGCAUUGGAAAAGAGUGGAUUUUUACAACUAUUUAAAUGAACAAUUUCAGCUAGAGAGUGGAUUAACAGAGCCAACUAAACCCUUCACCCUGACAAAGAACUGGCGGGAGGACUAUAGAAACACAUCCAAAAUUUUACCAACAUGAAUGCAGAGUACUAGGUCACUGAGAAGCAUUUCUGUAUUUUAAUGGCUCUCUUAGAAAUCAAUUCAAUUUAAAACAAAAGUUGUUUUACAAAUAUGUGGAGAAUGCAGAAGGCUGGAGAGGGAGCAAGUGGCCUGCAUCCUCCAUCUGCUCCAUCCUCCCUCUCCUCACGCACUAGGAACUGCUAAUGCAAGUCCCCCUUCUGGGCAGACACAGAGGCAAAAGCAGAUAGUGCCCCAAACCCAAGGGUCAGAAAUGUCUCCCACUUUGCAGGUGCAUGGGUGCACCCCCAGAUCCCACACCCUGUAUUUUAUAUAUGCAUGAGCUGCUGAGACCCAAAUCCAAGCAGCAGGAAACUUUAAGCCUAGAGGUCUUGGGGAAGCUGAGAUACAAAAACCUGUGCUUCUCCAUCAGAAAUGAGGCUACAGAACAAGAGAGUAUUAAGUAUCCCAGGAUGAGGAGCAAUCUUCACUGACAAGAGAUGGACAUGUUGGGGAAUGCUCAUCUCUGAGAGGAAAUGGAUCACGGUGACAGAAGAGAAGCAUCUACUGGACAAACAAAGCUGCAAAGGCAGAUUGUCAAAACCUCUUCUUUAAGAAUUUCAGAAAAGACAGCAAAGCUAAGGGACUUUUUGUUUGAGGGAAACUGAGGCACCGGGUAUAUUCAGAUCCAGGAAACUGCAGAAAGAAAAAUCCUGGAUCUUAAUUCUGUUAGCUGCGUCAUGAUGGAGAGACUGUUCUUCCUCCUUGUUACGUGGCUGGUGACCCUGCUGGGCACUGUUUGAAACCUGGUGAGUUGCUUUUUUUCAUGUUUAGAUUGCUGCAAAAUAGGUGACAUCUAUCCAGCUGUAGUGUCAUCAUGAACACCUUUACUAAAAGAAAAAACAUUAAUGGUUUUCCUUUUCAGAUCAAAAACCAGCAGCAGCAGAAAGUGCAUCUUCAAUCCCUCCAAAGCCUUUGGAAGGCUGUCUUGUUCCACCCAAAAUACUGCAACUGCUCCCUCAGUCUGCACAGUAACAAAUACUGAAUAACUCUGAAAGACAGAAUUGCACCAUUUAUUAUU